UGGGAAAAUAUUAAAUGGA
rnacentral:miRNA from 1 species